UACGUAGGGGGCAAGCGUUGUCCGGAAUCAUUUGGGCGUAAAGCGCGCGUAGGCGGUCGGAUAAGUCGAAUGUGAAAGCCCCCGGCUCAACUGGGGAGGGUCAUUCGAUACUGUUCGACUCGAAGGCAGGAGAGGGAAGUGGAAUUCCCGGUGUAGCGGUGAAAUGCGUAGAUAUCGGAAAGGAACACCUGUGGCGAAAAGCGGCUCACUGGACCAUAACUGACGCUGAGGCGCGAAAGCUAGGGGAGCAAACAGGGA
rnacentral:rRNA from 1 species